rnacentral:tRNA from 2 species
GCACCCAUAGAUCAAUUGGAUAGAUCGUUUGACUACGGAUCAAAAGGUUAGGGGUUCGAAUCCUCUUGGGUGCGCCA